CCUACGGGGGGCAGCAGUGAGGAAUAUUGGUCAAUGGACGAGAGUCUGAACCAGCCAAGUAGCGUGAAGGAUGACUGCCCUAUGGGUUGUAAACUUCUUUUAUAUGGGAAUAAAAUGUUCCACGUGUGGGAUUUUGUAUGUACCAUAUGAAUAAGGAUCGGCUAACUCCGUGCCAGCAGCCGCGGUAAUACGGAGGAUCCGAGCGUUAUCCGGAUUUAUUGGGUUUAAAGGGAGCGUAGGUGGAUUGUUAAGUUAGUUGUGAAAGUUUGCGGCUCAACCGUAAAAUUGCAGUUGAUACUGGCAGUCUUGAGUACAGUAGAGGUGGGCGGAAUUCGUGGUGUAGCGGUGAAAUGCUUAGAUAUCACGAAGAACUCCGAUUGCGAAGGCAGUUCACUGGACUGCAACUGACACUGAGGCUCGAAAGUGUGGGUAUCAAACAGGAUUAGAUACCCCAGUAGUC
rnacentral:rRNA from 1 species